AAGCCAGAAAAUGUCCUAGUAAGAGAUGAAGGUCAUAUAAUGCUCUCUGAUUUCGAUCUCUCACUUCGCUGCUCUGUCAAUCCAACCCUCGUCAAGUCCUCAUCUACACAUGCAAGCAACGGCGGAGGGAAUGGUGGUGGAGGUAUUUUGGACGAUGACUAUGCAGUGCAUGGUUGCAUGCAGCCCUCAACAUUUUUCCCUCGCAUUUUG
rnacentral:misc_RNA from 1 species